GACGAACGCUGGCGGCGUGCUUAACACAUGCAAGUCGAGCGAUGAAGUUUCUUCGGAAAUGGAUUAGCGGCGAACGGGUGAGGAACACGUGAAGAAUCUGCCCUCCACUUUGGGAUAACACCGGGAAACCGGUGCUAAUACCGAAUAUUGAAACAUAAGUGGCAUCACUGAGUUUUGAAAGAAUUUCGGUGGAGGAUGACUUCGCGGCCUAUCAGCUAGUUGGUGAGGUAAUGGCUCACCAAGGCAACGACGGGUAGCCGGCCUGAGAGGGCGACCGGCCACACUGGGACUGAGACACGGCCCAGACUCCUACGGGAGGCAGCAGUGGGGAAUAUUGGGCAAUGGAGGAAACUCUGACCCAGCGACGCCGCGUGCGGGAUGAAGGCCUUCGGGUUGUAAACCGCUUUCAGUAGGGAAGAAGCGAAAGUGACGGUACCUACAAAAGAAGCACCGGCUAACUAUGUGCCAGCCGCCGCGAUAA
rnacentral:rRNA from 1 species